rnacentral:lncRNA from 1 species
GCGGCCGCCUCUCCACGCCCUGCCCCGGGCCGCCCGCCAGGCCGCCGUUUCCCGGAGCCGGCCCCCUCCCGCCCUCGCGGCCGGCUGAUGUCAUCUGCACACAACUUUCCGCUUCCCGGCCCGUCUCGGGGCCCUGAGUCAUCGCCGCCCCCGGCCCCGACGCUGGCCUGCGGCGUCUGUUUGUGCAGAGCGAGGCCCCGCCGGCCGGGCUUGACGUCAGGCUGGCAGGGCCUGGAACGGCCCCGCAUCGCGGCCCCCUGGGGGCAGGACGACACCGCUGGGGGCCGAGGGCAGGGCACGCCUUCGGAAUCCGGCUUCGAAGCCGGCCGCCUGACCUGGGGCAAGUGCUUUCAACUCUCUGAACUUCGGUUCCUCAUCUGCCAGUUGGCAGACGCUCAGCAAAUCUUCCUAGACUCACGGGGCGAAUUGUACAGUUGGGUAAAUCGAGGCCCAGAGAUGGCAAAAGGACCGUCCAAGGUCGUACAGCCACCCGGAAUUACAAUUCUUUUCUGCCGGGUCACACGCUGUCAUCCACGUGUUACCUAAGAGAGCUUUCCAGCCUGUGCUAAGAAAACUGCCCCACAUCAUCUGCAGUAGGACGGGGGAGUUGGAGCCCUGGUCAGGCCACUCUGCUACUGACCACAGUUUUCUCAUCUCUAAAAAGGCGCAGUAACAAUAUAAUUACCGUAUGCAGUCCCCCAGGAUACAGGGUCAAAGGAGAGCACAACCAUCGCAGUUGGAAGCCCAUGGGGCAGCAGGGCCCAGGACACAGUGAGCAUACAAUAGACAUUAGCUGCUGUGGUGUCUUGAUUUCAAGCCCAGUGCAGAUGCAUCUGACUUACGAAACUUCAGUGACACCUGCUCUGUGCCAGACACUGAAGAUGGAGCAGUGAACAGCACUGACCCAGCCUGUCCUCCUGUUGCCUGCAGGCCAGAAGCAAGGUCUCGCUGUGUUACCCUGGCUGGAGUGCAGUGGCUACUUACAGGCAUGAUCAUAGCAUACUGCAGCCUCGAACUCCUGGACUAGAGCAGUUCUCCUGCCUCAGCCUCCAGAGCAGCUGGGACUGCAGACACGCACCACAGAGCCCAGCCUGAGUCAUUUUGAUUCUGUAACUGGCUUCCUCUCGGCGGGCAGGCUCACACCCUCCACCCCCAGCUGGAGAUGGAAGGAGGAUGCUCACCGCCCAUUCCUCAUGCAGGCCAUCGAUGGAAAUGUCAGACAGUGCGAGUCCACGCCUGAACACUUCUGGGGUCCGCUCUGGGACUGACACUGGCAGAUCCAUCGUGGCACCCGAGCUCUGUGAGGGCAAGACUUUGUUCGGUUGUGGGCUAUGCCCCCAACCCCUCGGACAGUGCCUGCACAGGUGGACAUUUUUGUUGGAUGAAGGAUUUUCUGUUAAAUGUGUCUGGCACACACAGAAAAACAAAGCCCAGCAGGUACGAUGGUGAUUAUUAUUGUUACUGGUGGCGCUCUAUUAUUGUUAUUAGUGUCUGUUGAAAAAGACCCUGAGCUAUACCAGCCCUUGGUUCUCCAGCCUGUGAAAUGGGCAUCCUGGGCACUGAGGCACUAGCCUUGGGAAGCUGAUAGGGGGUCCCUGCAGGAGAGACAAAGAACACUGCCCACCCCCCCGGGGGAGCCUGCGCCCCUCACCGGAAAGAGAAGCAGGGGGGAGCAGAGGGAGCUUGCAGCCCCACACGCAGGGCUGCCAGAAGGCCAUACAUAAUUCAUUGCCAAAUGGGGCUGCGGGCGGCUCUCCGCGGCGUGCGCUGGGGGCUCACUCUGCGCCUGGCACUUCGCUGACUGCGCCUCACACGUUGCCUCAUUGCAUCUUCAUGGAUUUGCAGGGUGUGACCCUUCCCCCUGUUUUACCCAGGGGGAUCCUGAGGCUCAGAGGAUGGGGCCACCGUGCUAGUCACACAGCCUCUCUGUGGCCAAGCUGGGCCUCGGGCCAGCAGAUUCGGCCCCCAGCGGCCCCCAUUCACUGCCUCUCUGCUGAGGGAAAAGACGGGCCUGGGGAGCGGGUGGGAGGCACAAAGGAGACCCCGCUCUGAGACAGGCUGCAGAAGAGGGAGCUGGGUCUCAGCAGGGCUGGGGAAGGCUCUGGCCCCAGCCCUCCGCCCAACCCCCUGCCCUCCUCUCCUGGAGGAGAUGCUCCCCAAAUUAGCCAUCAUGAGCGCUGGCUCUGGGGGUUGGGCGUUGGGGAGCAGUUUGCUCAGCUGUAAAAUGGGAAUAACAGAAGCCGUCCCUGGGACUAUGAGAUCAAGGUGCUCAAGAAAAGUGGUGUCUGCUGAGGGGAAAAGCCAGUCCCAAAAGGUUGCAUACUCUCAUUCUGUUUAUUUGUUUUUGUUUUUGAGACAGGGUCUCGCCCUGUCACCCAGGCUGGAGUACAGUGGCGCAAUAUGGGCUCACUGCAACCUCCACCUCCUGGGCUCAAGUGAUCCUCCCAUCUCAGACCCUCAAGGAGCUGGGGCUACAGGCACGUGCCACCGUGUCCGGCUAAUUUUUGUAUUUUUUGUAGAGACAGGGUUUCACCAUGUUGCCCAGGCUGGUCUCAAACUCCUGAGCUCAGGUGAUCCGCCUGCCUUGGCCUGCGAUAAAAUUGCACAGAAGUAAAUACACACACGUGAGGAUACGGAAAACCGGGGAAACCUGAGCAAGAGCAGUCAGACCCCGGCUGUGAUGGCGCCCAGUAGUUCUGCGAGAUGUUACCAUUGGGGAAACUGAGUGAAGGCGGGUACCUGGGAUCCCUCUGUUUUCUUUUUUGUUGUUGUUGUUAUUUUGAGAUGAAGUUUCCCUCUUGUUGCCCAGGCUGGGUGAUCCACCUGCCUCGGCCUCCCAAAGUGCUGGGAUUACACGCGUGAGCCACUGUGCCCAGCCUCUCUGUUUUAUUUCUUCUUUUUUUUUUUUUUUUUUUGGAGACGCUCUGUCGCCCAGGCUGGAGUGCAGUGGCACGAUAUUGGCUCACUGCAAGCUCCGCCUCCUGGGUUCACACCAUUCUCCUGCCUCAGCCUCCCGAGUAGCUGGGACUACAGGCGCCCGCCACCUCGCCCGUCUAAUUUUUUGUAUUUUUAGUAGAGGCGGGGCUUCACCGUGUUAGCCAGGAUGGUCUCAAUCUCCUGACCUCGUCAUCCGCCCGUCUCGGCCUCCCAUAGUGCUGGGAUUACAGGCAUGAGCCACCACGCCCGGCUGUUUUAUUUCUUAUAACUGUACAGGAAUCUACAAUGAUUGUAACAAAAAUUUCAAUUAAGGCCACUCUAGGCACAUGGCCUGUGGGGUAGCCCUGCUCAACAAGAAGCCGUCAAAAAAAUGUUUUUUAAUUAAAAAAUUUCUUCAAUUAAAAAGCGUUAUCUUCCUCUGCCCGGAAAGGGUUAAGUGAGUCACUGCAGUUAGCUCCCCUUCCCCCACAACCACCUAGACCAGGCCAGGGACCAGCGGGCAAUUGCCUGGCAGCUGGAGUUUUCCUCCACUGUGGACUGUACUUCUUGCGUCACUCUGAAUGUCUCCAGUCUUUAUUCCAGAAUGUUCUGGUCCUCUCCCACUUUUCCAAGGACAGGAAUUCCCUAGUGGGGCUCCAGAAGAGGCUCUGGAGGAGAACAAGAAAGGCCCUUGUCAUCCAUUGGCCUCAGGCUGGGAAAUCUCGGUUCCACUCCCAGCCCAGCCUCAAUAUUAGGUUGUCAGUCUGGAGUCUGAGAGCCAUGCCCCCACCCCCUUAGUCCUUCACCUCCAGGAGAGUUGGGGAUACUGGAAAGAAUGUUGAGUGUCAGAGCCCCUCUCAGUGGCUCACGCCUGAAAUCCCAGCCCUUUGGGAGGCUGAGGCAGGUGGAUUGCUUGAGGCCAAGAGUUCAAGACCAGCCUGGCCAACGCGACGAAACCCUGACUCUACUAAAAAUACAAAAAUUAGCUGGGCGUGGUGGCACACACCUGUAAUCCCAGCAGCUCGGGAGGCUGAGGCAGGAGAAUUGUUUGAACCUGAGAGGUGGAGGUUGCAGUGAGCUGAGAUCACAACACUGCACUCAAAAAGUAGUUAAUUAAUUUAGUUUAAUUAAAAAAGAAUAUUGAGUGUCAGGCAAUCUGGGUAGAACCCAUUGUGUUUCUACAGGAUAGAAUCUGCUGUGUUCUCUAGCGGAACUUCCGGAUCACCUUCACCGUAUGACUCUAGACAAUCCCUGUCCACUCUUCAGUUUUAGAUGCCCCAUUCAAAGAAUGAAAGAAUUGUCCUAGAUGAUCCUUUAGGGUCUUCCAGGCUGAUGACAAGGGGGACCUGGCCCCUCUGCUGCUGGCCAAAGAGGACUUUACUUCCCAUUCCGUGUGGUUGAACAAGAAUUGCUGGGCUCCAGUCCUGCCUUUGGCCCUUCCCUACAUGUGACCUUGGGCCCUCUUUGCCUUUCAGAAUCAAUACAGUGAGAGAGUUAACACAAGCUCAGGUUAGUAAGUCAUUCAACAAACAUUUACUGAGCGCUUAUCAAAUACUGCAUGCUGGAGUGGACACUGGAGAAAAAGGUGAGGAGAAGGCCGGGCGCAGUGGCUCGUGACUGUAAUUCCAGCACUUUGAGGGGCAGAGGCAGGUGGAUUACCUGAGGUCAGGAGUUUGAGACCAGCCUGGCCAACAUGGCAAAACCCCGUCUCUACUAAAAAUACAAAUAUUAGCCAGGCAUGGUGGUGCAUAUCUGUAGUCCCAGCUACUCAGGAGGCUGAGCAGGAGAAUCACUUGAACUCAGGAGGUGGAGCGUGCAGUGGGCCGAGAUUGCACCUCUGCACUCCAGCCUGGGCAACAUAGUGAGACUCUGUCUCAAAUAAAUAAAUAAAGUGAGGAGAAAAAAAUACCAUCUCUGUCUUCACAGAACUUAUAGUUUGAGAGGGGAGAAUCCCACAAGUAAAUUAUAAAUCUCAGCUGAGAUUAUGCAAAGAAGCAAAGGCCGGACGUGGUGGCUCACGCCUGUAAUCCCAGCACUUUGGGAGGCCGAGACGGGCGGAUCAUGAGGUCAGGAGAUUGAGACCAUCCUGGCUAACACGGUGAAACCCUGUCUCUACUAAAAAUACAAAAAAAUUAGCUGGGCGUGGUGGCGGGCGUCUGUAGUUCCAGCUACUCGGGAGGCUGAGGCAGGAGGAUGGCGUGAACCCAGGAGCACAGGUUGCAGUGAGCCGAGAUGGCGCCACUGCACUCCAGCCUGGGCGACAGAGCGAGACUCUGUCUCAAAAAAAAAAAAAAAAAAGGAAGCAAAGUGCCCAGCUGGGAUGGUGGUUUCAGAGGCCACAGUGGGAGCUUCCCAGAGAAGGGAUGAUUGAGCUAAGUCUAAGCAAAAGGGGUGGUCAGGGCAGCAGCUGCUCCAAAACAGGGGCUGGGGGCUUAUGUGGAGAGAGAAGACAUGGAGAGACCAUGCCCAGAAGGAGGCGGCGGCUUCAGUGAACAGUGCAGGGGAGCAGGUCCGAGGAGGCCGCCUACCAGGGGAAGGAGUCUCAUCUCCAUCCUAGACAAAAAAAGGAUCUUUUGAGAUGCAUUAAGCAGGGGAGUCACAGAUUGGAUUUGUGUUUUGAGAAUCUCCUGCUUACCUAGAGAAGAAGGGCAUCUCCUGGGCCCUCACUGUUGCCUUAAAUGAUUUUUAUUGUGUAUUACUUAAACAUGUGCAAGCAUAAAAUGAGAUAUAAACUCCUUGUAGCUCUUAUACAAGCAUCAGACCAAGACAAAUUGACCCAUCACGUACAAAAUCGAUUCAAAUCAGAUUAAUUUUAUGUGACAUGUUAUUAUGCCUUUUGUCUGAAACCCUGCCACCACCCACAGUGCAAUUAUGGCCCAACCACUGUGGUGUUCUGAAUUUGUGGGACAGAGAAUAUUGGCCUUUUAAACACGUGCAUGCAUGCAUUUGCGUGUGCGCACACACACACAUCCCAAAUGAUUUUUUCCCACUAUAUAUGAAGAACUCCUACAAACCAAAAAGAAAAAGGCAGACAAUUCAAGAGAAAAAUGGGGGAGGGCUUGCAUUAAAGUACUUCAUAACAAGAGUACUUAGGAGGCCAACAAAUACACGAAAAGCUGCUAGCUUCAUGACUCAUGGGGGUGGCUUGGUCAGUUCAGGAUACUGUAACAAAAUACCUUAGACUGGGAAAUUUAUAAACAACGGAAUUUAUUGCUCACAGUUCUGGAGGCUGGGAAGUCCAAGAUCAAGGCAGCAGUAGAUCCGGUGCCUGAGCCCGUUCCCUGCUUCAAACAUGGCACCUUCUUGCUGUAUCCUCACAUGGUGGAAGGGGGAAGACAGUUCUCUGGGGCCUCUUUUAUAAGGGCAGUUAUCCAAUUCACAAGGAUAGAGCCCUCAUGACCUAAUCACCUUUCAAAGAUCCCCAUCUUCUAACACCUUCUAACACCAUCACCUUGGUGAUUAGGUCUUUUUGUUGUUGUUGUUGUUGAGAUGGACUCUCACUCUGUUGCCUAGGCUGGAGUGCAGUGGCGUAAUCUUGGUUCACUGCAACCUCUGCCUCCCGGGCUGAAGUGAUUAUCCUGUCUCAGCCUCCCAAGUGGCUGGGAUUACAGGCGUGUGCCACCAUGCCCGGCUAAUUUUCAUAUUUUUAGUAGAGACAGGGUUUCACCAUGUUGGUCAGGCUGGUCUCGAACUCCUGACCUCAUGAUCCGCCCACUUCGUCCUCCCAAAAUGCUGGGAUUACAGGCAUGAGCCACUGCACCCAGCCGAUUAAGUCUUAACGUAUGAGUUUUUGGGAGAAACUCAAACAUUCGGACAAUAGCAAGGAGAAUACAAAACCACAGUGAGCUACCGCUUCAGACACCAGAGAAGUUUAAGUGAAAAAGACUGGCAAUACCAAGUGCUGAUGAGGAUAUGGAGCAACCAGAACUCUCAGACAUUGCUGAUGGGAAUCUAAAUUAGUAUAACCACCACGAAAGCAUCCGUAAGGUUUAAUUGUGUUGAACACACCCUGCCCUCUGACCAAGCAUUUCCACUCCUGGGCAUACAGGCAAAAGAAAUGCAUCCACGUGUUCAUCAAAAGAUGUAACCUGUGCCAGGUGAGGUGGUUCAUGCCUGUAAUCCCAGCACAUCGGGAGGCCAAGGAGGGAGGAUUGCUUGAGCCCAGAAGUUCGAGAGCAGCCUAGGCAACAAGGCAAAACCUCGUCUCUACUAAAAAGUAGCCAGGCAUGAUGGUAUAUGCCUGUAGUCCCAGCUACUCAGGAGGCCAAGGCAUGCAGAUUGAUUGAACCCGGAAGGUGGAGGCUACAGUGAAUUGUGAUCUCGCCACUGCACUCCAGCCUGGGUGACAGAGCAAGAUCUUGUCUCAAUUAAAAAAAAAGGAAGAAAGAAAGACAUAACCUGGAAUAUUCACACCAACACUAUUCAGGAUAGCCCUAAACUGGAAAGAAUCUGAAUAUCCUCCGGCUUUAGAACAGAGAGAAAUUAUAGACUAUUCAUUCAUACAGGGGAUGAUUGAUCAGCUUUAAGAAUAAACAAACCGUACACAACAAUAUAGAUGAAUCUACAACCUUAAUGUGCAAAAUAGUUCACAUAUAUAAAGGACAAAAACAGGCAAAACUACUCCAUGGUGUUAGAAAUAGGGGUAGAGGUUACCCUCAUGCGGCAGGAGGGUUAGUGAUAGGGGAUUUGGAAGAGGAGGAGCCCAAUGGACUGAACAGCUGAGCUGGAAACAGCAAUUUGUUCCUUAAAGUUCUGAACCCAACUGUUAUCCAGCAUGGAGUCUGUCUGGAGAGGCCAGAUGUGGGGCCUCUCACAGGGGAAUGAGAAGUGCCUCUCAGGGUCCCACCCAUGAUCCCCCUUUCCUUGCCCACACAACCACCAACUGGCAAGUAGUAACCCAGGACCUGUAGCCCCCACUGGCUUGACACAGAGCAUAAUGCAAGCUUUUCCUGCUCCAGGUCCUGGACACCACUUUGCCCUUUGCCCCACACGUACAGCCCCCUGACCAAAAGCUGGGUACUCUGGCUUGACUAGAGGGAGCUAGACUCCAGGAAUAAGUAAGGAGCUGGGCUUCCACGCUAGAGAACAAGAGCUUCUCUGGGGAAAGGGGCUUCCCAUGAAGCCCUGGGGCACUGGGAGAUUAAUGGGCAGACCUCUGGCCUCAGCUUCCAGGGAAGGGGAGGGUGUGGGCCAACAUGCGGUGGCUACACUGACCACAAGCCGAUGACCCCAGCCAGCCUCAGGAUGUCUCAGCUCUAGGCAUGGUUUUUCGUUUUGUUUUGUCGUGUUUUGUUUUUGAGAUGGAACCUCGCUCUGUCGCCUAGGCUGGAGUGAAGUGGCACCAUCUCGUCUCCCUGCAACCUCCACCUCCUGGGUUCAAGCGAUUCUCCUGCCUCAGCCUCCUGAGUAGCUGAGAUUACAUGUGCGUGCCACCUUGCCCAGCUAAUUUUUGUAUUUUUAGUAGAGAUAGGGUUUCAUCAUGUUAGCUAGGCUGGUCUCAAACUCCUGACCUCAAGUGAUCUGCCUGCCUCAGCCUCCCAAAGUGCAAGGAUUACAGGCAUGAGCCACCAUGCCCGGCAUAGGCAUGGUUUUGACAAUCUGUCUCUUUGUGCCCUGGCUCCUUCUCCAACUCCUCUUUGGAGGAGGCACAGGAGGAGGGGUCAUUUCACUGUUCCUGAAAAGUAGACAUAUAACCUACAUGCAACUGCCAGGUGAUAAGGGCCCCAUCUGUCUGGCAUGACGUUGGAGGUCCACAAAGGCUGAUUAGAUGAAUGCUCAGCUCUGGGGCCUCCCCACAGAGCUCACAGACAGGCGUGAAGGAAAGCAGGACUCUUAUUAGAAUAUGUUCAGAGUUUUCACUGAAGAAGCCUCCUGUGUGGGCCAGGCACUGUGCUCAGUGCUUUGAUUCACAGUCUCAUUUAAUUCUCACCAUUUACAGACAAGAAUUCAGCUAAGAUCCUUUUCAAUCAAGUCUGGCAAUAUCUGCCUUUCAAUGGCAGUGCCUAGUCCUUUCAUAUGUAAUAUACUUAUCAUUAUGGGUGGGUUUAAGUUUUAUCAUCUUGCUAUUUGUUAUCUAUUUGUCCCCCCUCUUUUGUUCCUCCUUUACUGCCUUCUAUUUGGUUGAGACUUAAUAAAAUAUUUUAUUCCAUCUUCUCUACUUACUUUUUAGCUAUGCCUCCUUAUAUUUUUGGUUGCUGGAGUGUUACAAUAUGCAUUCUUCAAUAUCCAGUCUACUUUCCAAUAAUAUUACACCACUUCAUGUAUAACGUAAGAACGUUACAAAAAUAUAAUGCCAGGGCUGGGCGCAGUGGCUCACGCCUGUAAUCCCAGCACUUUGGGAGGUCGAGGCGGGCAGCUCACCUGAGGUCAGGAGUUCGAGACCAGCCUGACCAACAUGGAGGAACCCCAUCUCUACUAAAAAUACAAAAUUAGCCGGGCAUGGUGGCUCAUGCCUGUAAUCCCAGCUACUCAGGAGGCUGAGGCAGGAGAGUUGCUUGAACCGGGGAGGUGGAAGUUGCAAUGAGCCAAGAUUGCGCCGUUGCACCCCACACUGGGCAACAAGAGCGAAACUCCGUCUCAAUAAAUAAAUAAAUUAAAUAAACAAAUAUAUAUAUAUAUAUAUAUGUAAUGCCAUCACAUCUUCUCCGGCCUUUGGUGUUAUUGUGGUCAUAUACUUUAUUUUUGUAUGUCUUAUAGAUCCCAG